rnacentral:rRNA from 1 species
AUGCACAUACUAUAUUACUUCGGAAGAAAUGGGAAGGAAGCAUGGAUUUCACUAGGAGGUGCUAUCUUGUGUGUUACAGGUACAGAGGGUAUGUAUGCGGACCUAGGGCAUUUCAAUAUCACGGCCAUUCAGAUAAGCUUUAGUGGUGUCUUGUUCCCUUCGGUGGCACUAUGUUACAUGGGGCAAGCAGCAUAUCUGAGGAAAUUCCCAGAGAAUGUUGCAGACACCUUCUACAGAUCUCUCCCAGCACCAAUGUUCUGGCCAACCUUCACCGUUGCCAUUCUUUCGGCUAUAAUUGCAAGCCAAGCUAUGCUCUCUGGCGCAUUCGCUAUCCUGUCCAAGGCCCUAUCUCUUGGUUGCUUCCCGAGGGUUCGGGUUAUCCAUACCUCCAAGCAUCACCAGGGGCAGGUGUACAUUCCUGAAGUGAAUUUUCUGAUGGGACUGGCUAGUGUUAUAAUCACGAUCACCUUCAGAACUACCACCGAAAUCGGGAAUGCUUAUGGGAUCUGUGUCGUGACCGUCUUCUCAAUCACCACCCAUUUGAUGACUAUCGUGAUGUUGCUCGUGUGGAAGAAAAACAUCAUCUUCAUCUUGUUGUUUUACGUUGUGUUUAGUUCCAUAGAGUGGAUCUACCUGUCUUCAAUACUGUCAAAGUUCAUCCAGGGCGGGUACCUGCCAUUCUGCUUCGCGCUUGUCCUGAUGGCCCUAAUGGUAACAUGGCACUAUGUGCAUGUCAUGAAGUACUGGUACGAGCUUGACCACAUCGUCCCCAUUGAUGAGGUGACGGCACUGCUUGAGAAGCAUAAUGUGCAGCGGAUCCCUGGGGUGGGCAUCUUGUACUCGGAGCUGGUGCAAGGUAUUCCCCCGGUGUUCCUGCGGUUGGUGGAGAAAAUUCCAUCUGUGCACUCUAUCUUUUUGUUCAUGUCGAUCAAGCACCUACCCAUCCCUCAUGUGGCACCUGCGGAGCGGUUCGUCUUCCGGCAGGUUGGUCCAAGGGAGCAUCGGAUGUUCCGGUGUGUCGCACGGUAUGGUUACAGUGAUGGGGUAGAGGAUUCAGGACAGUUCGCCAGGUUCCUAGCGGAGAGGUUGAAGAUGUUCAUCGAAGAUGAGAAUGCAUUUGCAGUGGAGAAACCGGAAAAAGAGGAUACUGACUCUCCAAGCGGGGUUUCGGAAGGUCAGACGAAGCCUAGGAAGUCCGCACGAUCUGUACACAGCGAGGAGGUGAUAGAGCCGCCAAUGAGCAACCAUGUAGGGAGGAUUAGUUCCUAUUCUCUUCAGAAGAUUGAGGAGGAGAAGCAGCUGAUUGACGCAGAGAUGAAGCGAGGGGUGGUUUAUCUGAUGGGGUCAGCCAAUGUGAUAGCAGGACCUGAAUCACCCACCUUGAAGGUGGUCGUGGUAGACUAUGUGUAUUCAUUCUUGAGAAGGAACUUGGCAGAGGGUCACAAAGUGUUGUCCAUUCCUAAAGAUCAGCUGCUCAAAGUUGGGAUCACAUAUGAGAUAUAG